UAGUCCACGCUGUAAACGAUGCUUACUCGCUGUUGGCAAUAUGACAGUCAGCGGCUUAGCGAAAGCGUUAAGUAAGCCACCUGGGGAGUACGUUCGCAAGAAUGAAACUCAAAGGAAUUGACGGGGGCCCGCACAAGCGGAGGAGCAUGUGGUUUAAUUCGAUGAUACGCGAGGAACCUUACCUGGGCUUAAAUGUAGAACGACCGAUUCAGAAAUGAUUCUUUCUUUAUGACGGUCUGCAAGGUGCUGCAUGGUUGUCGUCAGCUCGUGCCGUGAGGUGUUGGGUUAAGUCCCGCAACGAGCGCAACCCUUGCCCUUAGUUGCCAGCACGUUAUGGUGGGGACUCUAAGGGGACUGCCUGCGCAAGCAGAGAGGAAGGUGGGGAUGACGUCAAAUCAUCAUGGCCCUUACGCCCAGGGCUACACACGUGCUACAAUGGCUGGUACAGCGGGUUGCUAUGUGGCAACACAGUGCCAAUCUCUAAAACCAGU
rnacentral:rRNA from 1 species